GGGUGCCGUCACAUGGGGUGCGGCAGGUGUAGCGAAGGUCGGGCCGCCUCG
rfam:Acidovorax citrulli AAC00-1, complete genome.